rnacentral:rRNA from 1 species
CUUUGAUUAUGGCUCAGGAUGAACGCUAGCGGCAGGCUUAACACAUGCAAGUCGCGGGGCAGCGGGGACUAAGCUUGCUUAGUCCGCCGGCGACCGGCGCACGGGUGAGUAACACGUAUGCAACCUGCCCCUGUCAGGGGGACAACCCGGCGAAAGCCGGGCUAAACCCGCGUAUAUUGCCGAGGGGCAUCCCUUGGCAAGGAAAGGAGCGAUCCGGACAGGGAUGGGCAUGCGUCGCAUUAGGAAGACGGUGAGGUAACGGCUCACGGUUCCGACGAUGCGUAGGGGUUCUGAGAGGAAGGCCCCCCACACUGGUACUGAGACACGGACCAGACUCCUACGGGAGGCAGCAGUGAGGAAUAUUGGUCAAUGGGCGCGAGCCUGAACCAGCCAAGCCGCGUGAGGGAAGAAGGCGCUAAGCGUCGUAAACCUCUUUUGUCAGGGGACAAAAGGUCGUACGUGUACGAUAUUGAGUGUACCUGAAGAAAAAGCAUCGGCUAACUCCGUGCCAGCAGCCGCGGUAAUACGGAGGAUGCGAGCGUUAUCCGGAUUUAUUGGGUUUAAAGGGUGCGUAGGCGGACAGUUAAGUCAGCGGUAAAAGCCCGGGACUCAACCCCGGCGAGCCGUUGAAACUGGCAGUCUUGAGUAGGACAGAAGUAUGCGGAAUGCGCCGUGUAGAGGUGAAAUUCAUAGAUAUGGCGCAGAACACCGAUUGCGAAGGCAGCAUACCGGGUCCUUACUGACGCUGAGGCACGAAAGCGUGGGUAUCGAACAGGAUUAGAUACCCUGGUAGUCCACGCAGUAAACGAUGAAUGCUUGAUGUCCGGCCGGUAUAGGUUGGGUGUCGAAGCGAAAGCGAUAAGCAUUCCACCUGGGGAGUACGCCGGCAACGGUGCAACUCAAAUGAAUUGACGGA